GGGAAGUGCCCACUCUGGUCAGGGACGAGUUCCUGCCCCAAGUGGAGGAGUUUCUUGAAGUCUUGUUCACGAGUGACGAGAGAAGGGAGCGGGAGAUCUACAGACGGGUUGGUGUUGUGGCUACAGUGAUGGGGAUGUUGUACCGGUCCUUUCUUGGUGAAGAGAGGGCUGAGUGUAAACGUGAAGCUCUCCAUUUACCGGUUGAACGAGAUUCCAACCCUAACCUAUGGUCACGAGCUGUGGGUAGUGACUGAAGGAACAGAUUACGGACACAAGCGGCAGAAAUGAGCUUCCUUUGAAGGGUGGCUGGCCUCUCCCUUAGAGAUAAUGCGCAAAAAGAUGGAUGGAUGGAUCUUUCUCUCAUUUUACUUUCUUUUCAUUUAAAUAGGAGGAUAACAGGCAGUGCCCUCAACAGCCAAGCCCUCCUCAAAACUGCCCACAGGAAAAUGUACCUGACUGUCAGACACGAACAUGUGAUGUGAGUAUUUCAUUCUUUUCCAUAAUAAACAACAAUCAAAAAUAUUUAAUAAGGUUGAAGAAGUCUGCUGGUCCCAUUUUCCAUUAGUUUUUUUUUAUUUUUUUGUUUGUCUUCCUUUUAAUAAUAGGAUAACAGGCAGUGCCCUCAACAGCCAUGCCCUAAUCAAGACUGCAGAGAGGAAAAUGUAACUGGCUGUCAGACACGAACGUGUGAUGUGAGUAUUUCAUAUUUUUCCAUAAUAAAUAACAAUCAAAAAUAUUUAAUAAGCUUGAAGAAUUCUGCUGGUCCUAUUUUCCAUUCCUUUUUUCUCAAUUUUUGUUUGUCUUCCUUUUAAUAAUAGGAUAACAGGCAGUGCCCUCAACAGCCAUGCCCUAAUCAAGACUGCAGAGAGGAAAAUGUACCUGGCUGUCAGACACAAACGUGCAAUGAGGAUAACAGGGAGUGCCCCCCUCAAGACUGCCCACAGGGGAAUGUACCUGGAGGCUGUGCCCAGCAAAUCACAGGUUGCACCCAUUCUGGUGUAAAUUAUAACAAUGGAGACUCUUGGAGGUCGGUGGAGAGUCCUUGUGAUAUCUGCCAGUGUUUGGUGGGU
ensembl:lncRNA